AUGAACGCUGGCGGCGUGCCUAAUACAUGCAAGUCGAGCGAACAGACGAGGAGCUUACUCCUCUGACGUUAGCGGCGGACGGGUGAGUAACACGUGGAUAACCUACCUAUAAGACUGGGAUAACUUCGGGAAACCGGAGCUAAUACCGGAUAAUAUAUUGAACCGCAUGGUUCAAUAGUGAAAGACGGUUUUGCUGUCACUUAUAGAUGGAUCCGCGCCGCAUUAGCUAGUUGGUAAGGUAACGGCUUACCAAGGCAACGAUGCGUAGCCGACCUGAGAGGGUGAUCGGCCACACUGGAACUGAGACACGGUCCAGACUCCUACGGGAGGCAGCAGUAGGGAAUCUUCCGCAAUGGGCGAAAGCCUGACGGAGCAACGCCGCGUGAGUGAUGAAGGUCUUCGGAUCGUAAAACUCUGUUAUUAGGGAAGAACAAAUGUGUAAGUAACUAUGCACGUCUUGACGGUACCUAAUCAGAAAGCCACGGCUAACUACGUG
rnacentral:rRNA from 1 species